UACGUAGGGGGCGAGCGUUGUCCGGAGUUACUGGGCGUAAAGCGCACGCAGGCGGUCUGCUAAGUUUGGAGUGACAGUUGGUGGCUUAACCGCCAAAGUGCUUCGAAAACUGACAGACUUGAGGGCUUCAGAGGGACACGGAAUUCCGGGUGGAGUGGUGAAAUGCGUAGAGAUCCGGAGGAACACCAAAGGCGAAGGCAGUGUCCUGGGGAGUACCUGACGCUCAGGUGCGAAAGCCAGGGGAGCGAACGGG
rnacentral:rRNA from 1 species